rnacentral:piRNA from 1 species
UGGAUUUAGCAAGAAACCGAG